GGACUUUUUUUAUAUACCAUCAGAAUCUUUAUGUCUACAGAUCAGUUUUUGAAUCAUCGCCCUUCUAUUUCAGAAGUUGUAAAUCCCUUCAGGAAGUAAAGUCAUACUGUUAGAUAAUCUGUUUUAAUGUAAAGCCAUGAUUCCACAGAGGUUAGAUGGUCAGAUGAUCUGUUGUAACGCCAUGAUUCCCGAGGGUAGGGUUGAGGACAAGCGGGACUCUUGGAGGAAUGAGUCUGACAUAAGAACUGGUGUUUUUCACCUUGCCCGCCUCAGGGCUGCUCAUAGUACUUGGGGCCAGAGCCUGCGUGAAUACGUCUGUGUGGACCGUUCAGCUGCCAUGUUGGGUCUAGCUGAAAAGCUCCUUAAAGGUCCAGUUUGACGUAGUAGUAUCAGCCUUCGCCCUCAGUGAACUACCCAGCAGGGCCGAUCGCACUGAGGUACUUCAGAACUUGUGGCGUAAGACAAGCCAUUUUCUGGUAUUGGUGGAGAACGGAACAAAAGCUGGGCACCGACUUCUCAUGGACGCCAGGAACCUGAUCCUCGGGGACAAAGAGAAGUCGCCCCUGGACCUGCGACCUAGCUUUGUCUUUGCCCCAGUAAGUACUGCUUCCCCCUGUCCUGCUGCCCAGAUCCAGGCUUCAUUGUAGUCCGUGAAGAGCACUCUACACCCCCUCCAAUGGUUCCCUCUGCCUUCCCAGCCCCUUGUCCCCCUUGCUCCCUCCCUCCUGACCCCUCUUGACUUUAAAUGUAUUUAAUUUUACUUUUCGCUGGUGCAUGAGGUGUAUGGGGGUACAUGUGAGCCAUGUGGAGGUUAGACAGCUUUCAAGAAUCUGCUCUUUCCUUCCUCUGGAAUUUGAGGGGGUCAGAUCCAGAUGAGCCUUCUCCCCAGCCUGUUACAUUACUGAUGGAUCUUACAUGUGUUUGCAGUGUCCCCAUGAACUUCCUUGUCCUCAGCUGAACGCCGCCAAGUCCCUGGCCUGUAGCUUCUCCCAGGCCUAUCAGCCUAUCCCCUUUCACUGGGUAUGUAUCCCUGGAGUGCUGUGCAGGUGAGAUGGCCUAACCUAGGCGAACAGAAUAACCUGGAGCUCUGUGUGACUUAUAGUAUGAGGGAGGACUUCAGGCAUGCAGAGGGAAGGGAGC
rnacentral:lncRNA from 1 species